GACGUAGGGCGCAAGCGUUGUCCGGAUUUAUUGGGCGUAAAGAGCUCGUAGGCGGCUUGUCGCGUCGACUGUGAAAACCCGUGGCUCAACCAUGUGGUCUGCAGUCGAUACGGGCAGGCUAGAAUUCGGUAGGGGAGACUGGAAUUCCUGGUGUAGCGGUGAAAUGCGCAGAUAUCAGGAGGAACACCGAUGGCGAAGGCAGGUCUCUGGGCAUUAACUGACGCUGAGGAGCGAAAGCAUGGGGAGCGAACAGG
rnacentral:rRNA from 1 species